rfam:Triticum aestivum genome assembly, contig: Triticum_aestivum_CS42_TGACv1_scaffold_577241_7BL
UAUAUACUCCCUCCAUCCGGAAAUACUUGUCGCACAAAUAGAUAAAAUUGGAUGUAUCUAGAACUAAAACAUAUAUAGAUACAUCCAUUUUUAUGACAAAUAUUUUUGGACGGAGGGAGUAGGUA